GAUCCCGAGCUUCCCCAAGACCAGUAUGGAAACGCCCCUCGCCCCCCACCGAGCCCAGUGACAUUUAAUAAGACCUCAGGAGACACCACCUGGCCUAGGCUGCCUUGCACACUGCGCUCCCCCCUUUCCAGACUGACACGCAGGGGACUGCAUGCAGCGCCCUGCCCUACGGCAGCUCGGAGGAGGUGGACGGAUCUCAGGUGCAGCCCCCGCAGGGCCCACAGGACAUGAGCUUCGCCUCUCGAGGGCUUGGAGUGCCCUUUGUCCUGGGACCCCUGGCGUGGUGAGGGUGAGAAGUUGCAGGCAAGGGCUCCAGCGGCAGAGAUCUGGGGCCCCGGUGACAAGGGGCCUGCAGGCCACCCUCCAGAAAUACUGACAGCGGGACGCCCACUGAGGCCUGUCGUGCCUGACCUCGGGCCCUGAAGGGUCAAUAGAACUGUUUUUGGGAAAACGCAGAUCACGACACAGCGGAUCACGGACAGAGUGGGCACAGACAGAAAACCGGGCUGGCCCUCACUUCUGCAGUGACAGAGCAUGAAGACCCAGUCCUGAGGGAAAACGAGUGUCACCCAAGACUGGAAGGGUCCCUGGGCAGCUCUGGUGUGAGUCUAAGGCCCUCAGGAAAACCUCUGUAAACCUGGGAGAACCCAAGAAAUAAAGUUCUUCAAACACAUAAA